CUGAAACAAAGGGCUAAAAAUAGAGCGGGAAUGGGGCAAUCCAGGGCUGCGCUGUGACGCUCCUCGCCCGGCAUACGGCGGCCGGCAGGGGCCCAGUUUUUUUCUCAGUAGGGUCAAGGCAAGCGGUGAUUCUUAGGAGGAGAGAACCACGCUCCUCCCCCCCCCCCCCCCCCGGGCCGCUUCCUCAGCGAACUCUCAGUGAGCCUGCGCGGGAGGCGGUUCUUUUUAUAACCGUGCCCGGGAGAAUGAGGACUAAGAUCACCAUGACCGAAGGUUUGUGAGGAUCAAACCAAAAUGUGACCUUUCGUUGAAUGAGCUGCUGGUUCAAUGGCCUGACAUCAAUUUACUGAUCUUUCAUAGUCUUGUUUCUCUGAGAGGAGCUGGAGACUUCUGUUUGUGAGGUAUAUAGCUAAUCCAAAGAAAAUCAGUUUUAAACUUUGUUUUGUUUUCAUCUCAAACAGAUUUCAGAAUAUAUUACUUUAACAGAUUUUUGUCUUGGUGCCAGUAAGUGAAAAGUUAUUAAUAAGUUUAGUUACAAGAUUAGCUUUAAAUGACUAUAUUGUAGAAAUUAGAGCUGG
rnacentral:lncRNA from 1 species